GAACCACGUUGCAGCCGGAGUACAUCUUCUUCAUGAUGUGGUAGUGAUGCUCAUGAUUGUCCAGCAUGGUCAGCUGGUUGCUCAUCCCCUGGCACACUGAAAGCAGACACACAGAGUUCACUGCAGUUCCUCUACCGGCCACUGAGUGGUGCCGUUUCCCUGGUCACCAUGGCAACACAGAGUUUAAGGAGAAAAGAUUCCAUUUUAAUUUGCUGCAAGAUUAAAACCUGCGUCAGAAUAAUUUAGUGAGAAAUUUACUGCAGCAUCAAACUUCUGCUCUUAGAAAAUUACAGACAGCUGAUAAUUCAGAGCCUUAAAAGUAUUUGCUCCUUUACAGAUUUUAAAAUUUAUUAUUUUUGGUUAAAAACCCAAUAUUGAUAUCAAACGAAUAAAACUUCUCUUUACUAAGGGAAUUCAAAUAUAUAACCCAAUUAAUUCUCACUCUUCCUCAUUCUUCAGGCGCGUGCCGAUGUUUUACGGUUACACCCUCUGAGUUGUUCAGGGGAAGUUUCCACUCAAAGGAGCAUAAAGAGAGGAGGCCAGAGGAGUGGCACAUCCCAGCAGCAAAAGCUGAACAAGUCGGCGAGGAAUGAGGCUCUGCAGGCUCACGUCUCUGCUAGAAACAAACCGGCAGCUCAGGAGUCAGAGGUCAAGGGUCAGUAAGAUCUCUGAGUAGGUUCUGCUUCUGAUCUGUGAACUGAAUCAGUUCCUGUCUGAGCAGAAUGACUGACAGCAGGCUGCUGCUCUCAUUCAGCCGCACAGAUCAGAUCAAACCAUUUCAGGAAGGAAGGCAGCCAUGUUGGAACAUCAUCAAACAACAUUCUGAUGACAGUCAGAACCAAUCAAUCAAUAGGUCAGAGAUCAGAAUCAAAGGGUUUUACUUUCAUCAGCUCUGACCUGGAAUCAGCAGUUCAGCUGAUUCCAGUUCUGAGCUGCUUCUUAAUGUUUUAAAAGCAUCAAAACAAAAAACUUCUACCAAUUCUAUCCAUAAACACAUAAAGUAAAAAUCAGAUGCAGGUGAGAAACUUUUGCUUCAUUUUUUCCCAUUUGGUUUCAAAACAACAUCUCUAAGCAGUCAGACCUCAAAGAAAACUGGAAAUCAGAAAAGUUGACGCAGUUCAAACCACAGCUGGCUGAAACUAAACCUGAAGGACAAAUAAAUGAACUGAAUGAAGGUCUGUUCAGGUUAAAGGAGGAGUUAUUGAUGACUGGAGGCUGAUCGGAGCUGAUGGACCCCAGGUGGAGUUCUCCUGGGGCCCCGCUGACCUUUGGGCCGGCCCUGGACGGACCGUCCACCAGAUGAACCAACGUGUGUCCAACACUAACAGCUCAGAGAUGAACGGCGAACCAACACAGCUGAGCUGGGAGUGAUCCUGAUUGGCUGCCGGCUGGCUGAGGGGCCGUCCCAUUGGCCGGAGCCUCCUGGGGAACGCUCCACAUCUGGACUCAGACGUAAUGACUUUUCUUAUUUAUUCCUUUCUUUCCAUCUCCAUCCCUCCUUCAUGUAUCCUGAUCCUGUUUUCUCCUUCAUUCUCUUCCUUCCAUUCUUUCUUCCCUCCUUCCUGUUUGUCCUCAUUCUGCAUCUCCAUCCCUCCUUCCGUCCUCCCACUCCUCCCAGGUGUCUCUCUUCUCUCCCACUCGUUUAUUCCCAUCCCUACAUCGAAGAUUCCCAAACAUCCUUGUUUUCCUUCUCUCCUCAACAUCCGUCUGCAUUCAUUCCUCAUUUCUCCGUUUCUCAGAGUCUCCAAACCGCUCAGGUCCUGGAACGUUCGUCAGAAUUCCCUCCUGCCGGCUCGUUCAGUUUUCCAGAGGAAUCGGCUCAUCCAGGCUGAAUGCAGCCGUUCGGUCCAGUUUGUUGAUUUCACACGGUUCUUUACAGAAUCACAACCAGAACAGAACCGGACCAGAACUCGACCAGAACAUGAUGAGGUCAGAGAAACAUGAGCCGUGAAGCGGACAUGAGCAGAACCCGGUCAGCUUCCUGCAUGGCAAAAACACUAACUACUUAUUAUUAUGGUUAUUAUUUUGUGGAUAUUUCUAAAAUAACUGAAACAUAAAUAAAAAUUAAUUUAAAAAACAUCAUUUUAAAAAUGUGGCGACAAGCUAAAAUAUUCUGAAAGACGAUGAAUCUGAUCCACAAAGUCAGGGAACAAAAUCCCAUAAAUUCCUGCAUGUUUUCAUCUGUGGAUGUAAAACAACACAGUGAACCUUUAAGGAGGCGACCCGUCGGCUUCAGGUCCAGGACGGUUCUACACACUGAGUCACAUGGAAACAACAAAAACUUCUUUCCUUCCUGUUUUCUAUCUUUGCUGGUUUUAUUCCCUACAGUGAGAUUUUUCCUAGAGUGUAGUCAUUGUUCUGAGUGGCUGUAAAUACCAGAAAACAUCCCCGUUUCUCUGGUUUUGAACAAAAACUCUGUGGAAGGAAACAGACGGUGUGUUUGCUCAGGAACAGGUCGGGCCUGUCUGCGUCUGCAGCAGCUCCACUGAAACCCGACGCAGCGAGAAGCUGAGAGUUAAAGAUAGAAACAAAACUUCAUGUCACAAACCGAAGGCUUGGAGUUCAUCUUCAUGUUCGGCUCCAUUAGAGCAAAAACACAAAACCUGAAGUGUUUUAGAUUCUAAUGCAAAUACUUUAGAACCAUAAUGCAGAGAGUUGAGCUGCAGGAUCAUUAUAGAAUUACUUAGACAAUAUGAUACUGUGAUGCUGCUCAGCUGCAGCCUGUUUUGUCCAUUUUAAUGUAAUUAUGCACAGUUAUAAAAACAAUGAAGCUGAUGUGUCAGAACAGGAAAUAUGACUGGAACAUCCUGCAGCUCAGCUCAACAUUUCAUCUGAAAUCUGGACGGUUUUCUAUCCGUCAGCUGAACUUCAUACAACAGUUUUUGUGUCUGUGCUGCAAAAUGAAACCUUUUAAACUUAUUCCUCUUUUCUAAAACCCUAAAAGUCCAAAUGUUCCAUGAAAAGAGAAGAAGUGAGGCAGACGGAUCAGAACGGGUCACAUGUUGGUUUAACGACUUGGUUCUGUUAUCGCAUGUGAAUCUGCUUGUUUUGGUUGAAAUGAAUGUUCCUGAAAGUCUCUACCUGCAGCAGAUCACAAUCACAGCGCCGACCAAUCAGAGCUCAGAGGGAGGACAGUUCAGAUGGAGAUGACACAACAAACAACGAUGGAUUAAACUACCGAGUGAGGAUGUGAGGAGAACCAGGAGAAAACCUCUACAUGCAAACUGCAGGCUGGGAUUCAAACCCACAACCUUCCUGCUGCAGACAUCAGUAACAACAACUGAUCCACCAAAUGUGAGAGCUACUAAUUCAAUAAAUCCACAACUUUAACCAAAUUCAACCAAAGCAAGACGACCUGCAGACUGACUGGAAACCUAAAACUAUUUCAACUUUCAGGAUGCAGGAAGAAAACCAACAGAUUAAAACACAAACUCUUCAUUCAUGAGACUCAAUCUUUCAUACUGCAGGAUAAUUAAUCCAUGAAAACAAACUGAAUCUUCAGGUUGAAGAAACAACCAGCAGAUUUUACCUGUAAAGUCAUUAUUUUACUAAACUUUGUAGAAUUUGAAAACUCUCUGCUUUUUAUGUUUCUGAAAUAUAAAAAUGAUUCAUUGAUCUUUGCAACAAGCAGUCUGACCCCCGGGCAGAGGAAGACCUCUGUCUGUAAUAAACAAUCUGUGCGUCUGGUCUGUCAGGUUGAGCCUGUGAUGAGCAGAACCUCCUGACUGGAUCCGGUUUGUUUUUCAGGUGAAGCUGCCGGCCUGCCUGGACCUGCAGCUCCGUUUUCCCUCCUGCUGCUUUUCCAUCCAGCCUGUUUGACGGAGCGUAAAGCGGCUCAGAUUAUUUAUGACUGGAAACCUUUAAAGUGUCUCUGGUGAAAGUUUGCUGACAUGGAAUCGACAGUUUUCCGCCUGCAGCUCCGAUCAAUGGAAACGUUUGUCGUUCAAAUGGUUUUAAACUGCAGUUAAAAGCUUUUAUUGAUCCACAUGAGCAGCAGAUCGACUGAACGCAGCUCCGACCUUCAGAUGAACUGAUUCAAUAAUCAUCUUUAAAAUCCACCAGCAGAGUUUUGGAAAGUUUUCACUCAUUUCUGGUCCAGUUUAAAACAGCUGAGGCUGAAAAAACUGAUUUAAAAACCAUGCAGUCCUGAAAACAUCUGCAGGUAAACAGAAAGUCUUCAGGAGAAUCUGAAACAAGCUGAUCUGAUCUGCCAGGUUUGAACUAGACACGUUUGAUCAAACACAAAAUAAUCCCAUGUUUUAUUUCCGUUCAGUUAAAGCGACAGGAACACAUUGUGACAAACUGCUGGGAACAAAACGCCUGAAGAUCCGAUGAAAACAGGAUCAUUCCUGAAAGACUCAGCAGUUUAUUGUGUUUAAAACAUUUUUAUGAAAAUGUUCAUGAACUGAAAAAGAAGCCAAAGGGAAUCCAGGAAAAUCCGACCAAAUCCACUGAGGAGCGGGAGUCUGAGCUGGUUCCAGAUCAAAAACUACAAAAAUCUAUUUAACUGAAUAAAAUGUUUCCAGUGAACCUCAUAAAAAUCAGCAGCAGGUUUUUAAAGUGGUUUGAAUAUUUACUAAAAUCGUCUUUACAUCGUCAUGGAGCCCACAGACUUUUCUCUUACUUUAACUAGGACAAUGAGUUCAGCUGAGUCCUCAACACAUUUCCAUCCACAA